UACGGGGGGGGCAAGCGUGGUUCGGAAUUACUGGGCGUAAAGGGCUCGUAGGCGGCCAACUAAGUCAGACGUGAAAUCCCUCGGCUUAACCGGGGAACUGCGUCUGAUACUGGAUGGCUUGAGUUUGGGAGAGGGAUGCGGAAUUCCAGGUGUAGCGGUGAAAUGCGUAGAUAUCUGGAGGAACACCGGUGGCGAAGGCGGCAUCCUGGACCAACACUGACGCUGAGGAGCGAAAGCCAGGGGAGCAAACGGG
rnacentral:rRNA from 1 species